AUGCUCUGGGGGAUCCCUGGGGACUUGCCCAGCCUCACGGCAGAUGAAACCCUCUCACACUCAAAAAUCGAUCCCUCGCUAGUGGCUGCACCCUGCCCAAAGCUCCUGGAUGAGUAUCUGAGCACUGCCAGCCUGGGUGCUGCAGCUCAGGGGCAGCUGAUGUGGGCACUGGAGACCAAAAACCAGGGGACCCCCCCCGCCUGCCCCAGCUGGUCUCAGUGGGGAGAAAACGCUGGUGCUGGUGGUGAAAUCCCCACUGAAGGGCUGGGGGGCAAGGUGGGGCAGCAGGGAGGCUGCCCUCUGUGGGACACCAGACCCCUGGCAGCUCCCAGUGCCAGUACUGGGACAAACUGGGCUGCCCCACUCCCUUGGGGGACCCAACGCUGCAGCCUGGGACCCCGGAACGUGGCUCUGCAAAGCUGGUACUGCUGGGUGGCAGAGGCAGGAAGGGAACAGGAUGCUGCCACGAGGAAACACGGGACCCCCACCCCAUUCCUGCCCCACAAGGCUGGGUCCCCCCAGGUUCCCCUUCCCUUGCUGGCAUUGCCCCAGGAGGACACGAGCGCUGGCCACAGCCCAGUGGCACCGGCCAGCAGCCGAGACAGAGGAAUGGCUGUCACUGCCAGCACCAGAGUGAGGGGCUCCAACAUGUGGAGCUGAGCCCAGGAGCAGCAGAGCAGGCCUGGGGACAGGCUGGGUUGACCCCGCAGGAGCCCUGGUGGCCCUGGCCAUUACCACAGCCAAGUGUCAGGGAGGGGACGCUGCCCUCAGUGCCCUUCCCUUGCCUGGACACGCUCUGUGUGAGAGCCUGGGGCCACAGGGAUGAGGACACGGAAGGGAGCAGAGAUGUCCACGGGCAGCCAGCGGGGAGCAGACCCAGGCCUUUCCCCACCGGAGAAGUGGGUGAUGGAGGCACAGAGGGAGGGGCUGGCACAGGGCUGGGUCCCGUGCCCACCGUCCCCCCCCCCCCCCCCCCCCCCCCCCCCCCCUGGCACAGGGCUGGGUCCCGUGCCCACCGUGGCUCCCGCUGGUGGCGGCUCCUGGGGAGUCAUCUACGGACACAGCGUCGUCCUCCGACCCCCUGCCCGGCAGCUCCAUCCUCCGACGGCGGCUGGGACGGCGUGGGUGACAGAGGGAAGGACCCCGGUGCCGGUGGCAGGGGGGGAUGAGGCCGGGCUGUGGCGGGGUGGGCGCGCUGUGGGGCGAGGGUCACUAAUAAAUACCACAGGCAGCACUGGUGGGGGGCGGCACGGGGCUGGCCCCCCCCCCCCCCCCCCCCCCCCCCCCCCCCCCCCCCCCCCCCCCCCCCCCCCCCCCCCCCCCCCCCCCCCCCCCCCCCCCCCCCCCCCC
rnacentral:lncRNA from 1 species